UUGAAAUCUAGCACCUUCGGUGUUCGAGUUGUAAUUUGAAGAUGGUAACCUUGGGUUUGGCUCUUGUCUAUGUUCCUUGGAACAGGACGUCAUAGAGGGUGAGAAUCCCGUCUGAUGAGAUGCCCAUUCCUAUGUAAGGUGCUAUCGAAGAGUCGAGUUGUUUGGGAAUGCAGCUCUAAGUGGGUGGUAAAUUCCAUCUAAAGCUAAAUAUUGGCGAGAGACCGAUAGCGAACAAGUACAGUGAUGGAAAGAUGAAAAGAACUUUGAAAAGAGAGUGAAAAAGUACGUGAAAUUGUUGAAAGGGAAGGGCAUUAGAUCAGACUUGGUGUUUUACGAUUAUCUUCUCUUCUUGAGUUGUGCACUCGUAUUUCACUGGGCCAGCAUCGAUUCGGAUGGCAAGAUAAUGGCAGUUGAAUGUGGCUUCACUUCGGUGGAGUGUUAUAGCUUCUGCUGAUAUUGCCUGUCUGGAUCGAGGGCUGCGUCUUUUGACUAGGAUGCUGGCGUAAUGAUCUAAUGCCGCCCGUCUG
rnacentral:rRNA from 1 species